rnacentral:lncRNA from 1 species
CGAAGAACAAGAAACUACUCGGUAUUGCCCGAGAUUCCAGCCAAAUGACUCCGAUUCUCAUUGCUGCUAAGAAUGACCAAUGGGAUAUAGUUCGGUACCUCUACUCUGUAACUCCACUCGAAGAUCUAAAGCCAGAUAAAGGCCCUUGCGGCUCUGAACUUGUUAUCUGUUGUCUUCGGGCCAAACAAUUUGGUAACGAAACUACUCUUAACCGAAUCAAAUUUUCUGCACUACACACACACACAUAUACAUAUAUACGUGCCUUUUAUCAAGCGAGAUCCCCAUUUUAAUUGGAAAAUGGAGAUGAUGCACCGAGCCGUCUGAUUUCAUUUAGCGAGAUCGUGCGGCUGGGCAUUAAAGAUGCAUUUAUUACAUUUCUUGUUCUUUAUUUUCGUACUUUUCUUUCUCUGCCUCGCGAAGGACCGAACCAGAAACUAGAGUUUCAAAUGCAAUGAAUCCCUAAUCUCUCCAUCUUUUCCUUGAAUCGGUUUCCUCCCUUGACCAUUUUGAACGUUCUGGGUUGUGAAUCUGUUCUUCUUUUUUAUCUUCAAUUUCUAACCACUGAACACAUUUGAAUCCGAACUCAAUAAGUUUUAAUCUUUAAUAUUUGAAAGAAAAAAAAAAGCAAAUCGUUGAAAACAAUCUCUGGAAUUUAGAAAUUGAAAGGAAAAAAAACUCCUAAAUCCUUAAAUCCAGUCUCCAGGUUGCCUAAAAUGAUCAGGGGGAAAAGAUUUGGGUUCGAUUGGACUUCGGUUGUCUUGGCUAUGCGUCGUUCGCAAGGCAGAGAUUCAGAGUAACGGAGAAAAGGAGAAAAGAAAUGUAAUAAGUUGUGUUUGGUUGCAACCCCACGAUCUCAUUAAAAGAGAUCGGACGGCUGUCACAUCAUCCUUAUUUUCUAGCUAAAAUGGGGAUUCCUCACCUUGAAGAGCCUCGAACAUAUAUGAUAACUGGUCUAAAUAUACAUACGUACAGAUAUCGCAUAUGAUUUACUUCGACGGUGCCCACACUUGCUCUGUCCUUUUCGAACAAGAAGCCCUAUAUAUGAAUUUGCGCUUCUGCCCUUUGCAUUCCCGAGUGGGACGUCGCUCAAAUUUUGGCAAUGGUGGAUUUAUAACUGUUAGUAAUAUUUUCCAUUUUUUUUAUUACGAUCAAAUUUGUCAACAUUAUAUGUGGCAUGUAUAAAUGUCACCUUCCGCAUAAAGGGUUUUAUGAGUUGGUUCAAAUAAAGUGGUCUCCCUAAUAUUUUUCUUAAAUCAUAUUAUAAAUGGGUACUACCAUAAUGGUGUGUUUUCAUCCACAAAAUUUGUAGUAAAAGAUAAUUGGUCUUAUGUCAAAGACAUUAUCUACCAGAAGUAUUUUGAAUGAGGAAUUCGUAUUUCUUAAUAGGUAUACACGUAUGUGAUGCUCCUUCCGUCAGUGAUGCUCGUAUAAAUGUUCAAAAUCAAGAAAAUGAACAAGGUGAUCAAGGGAAUAGCACAGGUAUGUUACAUCUCAGAAGUCAAACUAUGAUUUGAUAUGUUGGCAUCCUUUUCAUAUGUUCUGCUCUUUCUUUUUUUGUUUUGUUUUUUAAAUUAUUGAGCUGCUCUAGGGUUUCAUAUAAAAUUUCACUACAGUAGAUAAGAAUUGCAUUUUAUUUUUCUUUGCUUAUGCCAUAUAUCAUCUAAUCAGGCUUAUAAAGAUAUUUUUGGCAGCAAAUUUAAUUUUAAAUUUGUUUCGCAGACUUGGGUUUAUUACAAGUACUUCCAUCGAGGCUUUCAGAGUUUUUGGGUAAGUGGACAUUAAUUAAUUAAUUUUGUUUUAUAGAAAAUGAUAAACACACAAUUAACUUCUUCUCUCACACAUCUAUUGAAAUUAUGUAUGUUGAUUUUGUUUGAUUUAUCGAAUCUCAUGGCCACAAAUUUAGAGGAAUUUGUAAGAAUUUCAGUUUUCUUUUGUUUAAAUUAUCAAUUUUGUUUAUCUAUGGACUCAUUAAAAAUGUGGUGAGUUGUAACAUUGUUUUGAAUCUCAAUGCAGGAAUAAACCACAUUCGUGAACUGAAAUUGCACCAUGUUCGAUCACAACAAAUUUUGGACUUGAUAAAAUAUUUAAAUAAAGAAGAAAUGGCGGAAAUUUAUGGACUAUUUGAUACAGUUAGACUAGCUGCUCAAAAUGGGAUUGUUGAGCUCGUUAUUACUUUAUGUAAGGCCAAACCAAGGUUAUUGUUGAGCUCGUUAUUUCAUCAUGCUGUUGAAUGCCGUCAAGAAAAUGUUUAUAGCCUUGUAUACGGGACUGGUAAAAGAAAUUACCUCGUGACUUUGAAAGAUGGUUCCGGGAAAAUCAUGCUAGAUUAUGCAGCGAUGUUAUCUCCUUCAGAAAGGCUUGAUGGUAUUGCAGGUGCAGCCUUGCAAAUGCAGAGAGAAAGGCAAUGGUACAAGGUUAGAAUUAUUUAUAUAUUUUUGUAGGCUUGCUUACAUCUAUGGUCCCUGAAAUUCAAUCCGAGUACUUGACCUCACAAAAUUCAAAUGGAAACUCAGGUUCAUGCCCCUCAUUGACCAAAAUUUUAGACUGAAACUUCAUUAAUUUAAAUAAUUUGAUUGAAGGACAAAAUACUGAAUAUUAGUGUUAACAAAGAAAAUUUAAUAAUGAAAAUUAGUAAUUCCUUCUAAAAUCAUGGAAGUUUUAUUUUUUGAGUUUCUUAUUAUUAUUAAGGGGAGAGGGAGAGGUUCAAAACUUUUACAAUAAUUAACCGGAGAGGGAAGUUUCGAACCGAGAAUACAAUGAUGGACCGCUCGAAAAGAUUAACACCAAAUAAGGAUUUAUAAUUUUUUUUUUCCUCAAAUUUGAAUUGUGUGAAUUCUAAGGAAUAAAAAAAAAUUUAAAUAUGGGUACGUUUUAAGCAUUGGUAGAUGUUACAUGUAAUACAGUAGUACAUUUUUUAUGAAAAAAUUGGUGCAUUAUAAAUAUAUAAAUGGGUUUAAAUAAAAGAUUAAAAAAAAUUGAGUACAAAUAAGAGUAAAAAUAUGGGUUAUAAAAAGAAAUUAAAUGCAUGGGGUACAAAUUAAACUAAAAAGAAGAUUUGUAUCUAAAAAAAGGUUGCAAAUAAAAAAAAGGUACAAGUUAAAAAGCAAAAAAAAAAGUAUGCAAAAUUUAACUACAAAUAUAAAUAUACCAAACCAAACCUUUCUAACACUAAAUGAAUGUAUUUGAAGAUGAUUAAAUACUUUUUAUUUAUAAAAUUUAAAUAUGCUAACAUGUGAAUAUUUAAUUUUAAAAAAAAAUGAUGUGGAUAUAAAAGCCAAAGGAUCUCCAAAAAAAUGGAAGAAAGAAUUUUUUUAAUCAAUGAAAUAGAAAAAUGAGAAAUGUGAAUCUAAUUUCUCUAAUUCAAAUUGUGUCACUUAAUACCUGAAAUUUAACUUCUUCUCACUUUAUCCCAUGCCAAUAUUGUCCAUGAAUAGUAUAAAUUUUACCUCAUUAUAUGUUUAAGCUCAGUAUGAAUCAAGUUGAAUUUAUUCCAACAUGAGGAACUAACGUAUGAAACACUAUUUCAAAAGGAAGCAAAACAAGGAAAAUUUUAUUUGAAAUCGUAUAACCUCUUUUGACGCCUAACUUACUUUCUAUAUCCAUUUUAUUUUUAAUUAUAUUAUCAAUAUUUCUUUAGCCCCAAAUUUAGUACCUAAACUAGCCUCACAACCCCAAUUCAAUAUAUAAAUUUAGUUAUACACUCAUUUAGAAAAUAAAAACCCAAAUAAGUGUUCUGUAGGUGUAAAGAGAGCAAUAUCUCUCAUAUAUUUGUCUCUUGCUUAAUCCCGUAUAUGUUUUAAUUUAUCCUCAUCUACUGAUUUUGCUUAAUCCAUAUAGAUGAUUAAAAAAAAUUACAAUACCAUACAUGUUUCUGGUGCUAAUUAUGCUGGAAAAUGUGCUCAUUUUGUUACUAAAAAAAUCAAAUAAAAAAGUUAUCGUAAAUCGAUUCAUACCUUCGUUGGAGGAUUCAAACUUCAAAAUCAUUAUCCAUGGGUCAAGAAGAGUUUUUGUUUUUUAAAUAUAUUAUUUAUGAGAUCGUCUUAUGAUUUUAGUUAGAAUGCACAUAAGAUAAAUAUUGCAUGAUAGUAGGGUUUGAUUAUUAGGUGUGGGUUUACUUAUUGUUAAUAUCAUCUCGUACUUGAUAAUAAUUAUGCAAUAACGUAAAUAAAAAAAAUCACAUUUAAAGUUUAAGUGUAAAGAGAGAACAUAUGAAUUCAAAUAAAAAUUUCAAAAAAUAAUAAAAGGUAAACAGGGAAUGAAUAGUUUACAAAACAGAUGCUUAUAAUGGCCAAAUUUCAAUAAGAUGCACAUUUAUCCUUCAUUUUUUUCCCUUUAAAAUUACUGAAAGAUUACGAUCACCUCAUGUCACUACGAUGCAUUAGUUUUUGUUCAAUGAAAUGCAGGAGGUAGAGAGUAGUGUGGUUACAGCCACGGGAGCCUCACCUUUUAAAGAAGAUUAUUUGAAAGCUGCUAGAUUAUUUACCCAUAACCACAAGGAAUUGCAUGAGAAAGGAGAAAAGUGGAUGAAAGAUACAGCAAGUUCUUAUAUAAUUGUCAGUGCCCUCAUUAUUACAAUCAUAUUUGCUGCAGCGUUCACAGUUCCGGGUGUAAACAAUCAAGAAACAGGGUUUCCCGUAUUCUUAAAUGAAAAGUUAUUUAUGGUUUUUAUAGUUUCAGAUGCAAUUUCUCUAUUUUCUUCUGUAACUUCAGCGUUGAUGCUUUUGUGCAUCCUUACAUCGCGUUAUGCUGAAGAUGAUUUUCUCAAAUCCUUACCCACAAAGAUGAUAAUAGGCCUUUCCACACUCUUCAUCUCCGUUGCGACCAUGAUGGUUGCCUACUCUUCUGCCAUAUUCCUCAUGCUUCGUGACAAAUUAUGGAUUAUUACUCCAAUAUUUUUCCUUGCUAGUAUUCCCGUCAUAUUUGUUUGGAUGCAAUUUCCCCUUCUUGUUGAGAUUUUCGUGUCUACUUAUGGCAGAGGAAUAUUCAAUAGGAAAGUCAAACGUUGGAUAUAAAUUCUUGAUAGUGUAUGCAAUAUGUUGUAUAACUGUAGUAAUGAAAUGUUUGUGACUACUAAGAAAGCUUGCAUGUGGGCACACUACGUAAGUGGUUGGUUCCUAUAAUAAAAACCCCAUUGUUCAAUUUUUUUUUUUUUUUUAUGGUCGAACUGCAGUGGCUCAAUGAUUGGGCCUUUUAUUGACUCAAGCCCAUUUUGUUUGGAUCUUUGACAAUUUAAAUAGAGAUUAAUUAAUAAUGUUAUCUUUAAUUCUUUUAAUUUGUCUUCUUACCAUGAGCAGAGGAUUCUGGAGAAGUCGUAGACAAUGGCUCAGUUCUUACUGGUGGUUGUAUUGUGAAUGGAAGGAAUGUGAGUCUCACUAGUUUAAUGAGAGCAUUCUCAUUAAUUGUGGGAAAAGGUCCCAUGUUAGCACCAAAAUUUUCUAAACUGUUUUUGGCUUGACAACAACAAUUAACUUUCUCGUAGUGGUUUAAGUUGAAAUGUAAUUUCUGAUUCCAUGUUAAAAAAAAAUUAAAUUACGAAUUGGAACAUCUGUAAAAUGAUUUAGCUUUUUUUUUUUUUUUUUGGUUGUUGAGGGUGUAAAAUGAUUUAGUUAAAAAUUGGAAUACAUAGAGAAUUUACAAUCCAAAGUUUUAUGAAAUUAACCAUGAACUUAACAAAGUAAUGAGAUGUUGAAAUGCCCAAAAUAACCCGAACAUAAUUCAUGACUUAUUUUGGAUAGAAAAGUGAAAGGAAUUGAGGUGAGAUGACAAAUUAAUAAUUUCAGAAAGUUAAUAUAACAAACUAUUUAAAAUAUUAGUUCAUAUAAUAAAUUAAAAAAUGUAUAUAAAUUCAUAUGCCAUUAAAAAUAAAAAUAAAAAUAAAAAAUCUUAAUUUAUUCUGUACAAAGUAGCAAACUUCAUCAAGUUAACUAAAGAGGUGUGAUUUGUACUAAUAUAUGUCUACAAUGCUAAAAUGGACGGUUUCAAAUCAAAUUCGAACAUGGUUUUUCAAACCGAAGGCAAAAAUUAUCUUCCAACAAUUCUCCUUAUGCUGGUUGCUGUCAUUUUCUAUGAUUGCUUGGUUAUAUAUCUUGAGAAAUAUAUACCUUCAUUAAUCAAAUGAAUUAACUGUAAUAUGAAUGGGCAUCUUCUUCAUCAAGAUCAAGUGACUCAAGCCAUUGUUUAUUUUUGUUGGAAAGACAAUUAAAAACAUGAAAGUAUCAUAACAUGUCAAGUCGUUGAUAAUAUUUAAAAAUUCAAUAACUGUUAUAUGAUUAAUCUACAAAUUCUUUAAUUAUUAUAUAAUUAAUUAUUGUUGAUUAUAUAUAAUGUAAAGAAUUCAAUAAUUGUGAAGGAAUUCAUUGAUAUCAAAUAGAUACAAUACAUAAGUCUUUAUACAUAUAGGGUGCGUUUGUUGUACCGGAUUAUCUCGGACUGGACUAGCUUCAGGGACUAAGCUGGACUGGCUUAGACUAGACUAAGUUGAACUGAUUUAGUAAAGCGUUUGGUGCAGUGUUGAAUUAAGAAACAAAAUAAUUAAUAAAUUUUAAUAUUAUAUUUGUUUAAUUCAUAAAUAUUAUAUUAUAUUAUGUUUUUUUCUCCGGCCCAUAGUUUUCUUCUUUCUUCCCACUCUCUCACUCCCCUCUCCUUCAUUUUCUUCUCUUUUUUUCUCCGGCCGACCAUCUCACUCCUCUCUCUCUUUUUCUCCCCCAUUUCUCCCAGUUUUCUUCCUCAAAGGAGGAUCUGUGCAUUUUGCUCCUGGGUCUUUCUUCUUGUUCCUCAAAGCAGAGAGCACUGCAAAUUCGAAAUCACAUAUCAAAUUUCUACUAUAAUUUAUGUUUUACAACUCCAAAUUUGAUUUCGUUUUUUCCUACAAAUUUCUGGAGAAGAGCACUGCAACCCAAGGUAAUAUAUUUCUAGGUUUAUCACAGAUUUUGAUAUUUUCUGUAAUUUGAAAUCGCAUAUCACAGAUUUCUGGGUUUAUCACAGAUUCUGAUAUUUUCUGGGUUUAUCGCAAAUUUCUAGGAAGGGAAGGACGGCGAAGCAGGGAGGGGUAAAGCGAAGCACAGAUGGGGCGAAGCGGGGAGGAGUGAAGUGAAGCAUAUUUGACAUUUCCUUUAGAGAUGAUCUUAGCUCAUCUAUCCAUGACAUUGAUAUGGGAAGGGUAAAUGAAGAGAGAGGGAGUGGACGGAAAAGACGGAGUGAAAAAGGGAAAGGAAGAUAACCGGUCAUAUAUUGCCAUAUUGGAAGAAAAGAAAUGACAAAGGAAGAAGAGGGGAAAGGGAGGGGUAAAGAGAGAGAGAUUUAACUGCCUUAUCAAACAUUUAGCUGUUUUAUCUUGUAUUUGAUUAUUUUUAAAAUAAAACAAAAAUAAUUUUUUAUAAAAGCACAACCAAUCCAAGCUAGCUGGAAAGAAAAAACAAAUAAACGAAGUGAUGGAAAAGGAAAAGUAAGAUAAAGUGGUCAUAUAUUGGAAGAAGAGUAAUGUGAAAGCCAAGUCCUUCCGCUCAACAUACAAUCUCCGUCGUCAAAUUAUUUUGCAGCAAUAAAAAGCAAAAAAAGUAAACUGUCGGUUUACCUCUUUAACUUUCAUAUCACUUUCGAUUUCCCUCCUAAACUUUUCUAUUGAAAAAUUAAGGAUCCAAACUAAUUUUUUUAGCCAAUUUGCCCCGUACCGUUAGUUUUUCAUAUAUUUCAUCCAUAUUUCCGUUAAGUGAGACCAUGUGCACAACAUGUGAGAAUAGUUAAGAUCAUUUCACUCUUAAAAAUGAUUAUAAACUGAAAAUAAAUAAUAAUUAAAAAUUUUCCUCUAUUUUUUCUCGCUAAUUCCUAUCCUCAAUUUUAUUUUUCUCUCCCAUUCUUAUGCAUGAAAAAUGACAUAUGGUAUUAUUGUCUACUAUUUUUAUUUUUUCUAAUAAAUUAAUAAUUUAACAAAUGUUAAUGGUGCUAUUGUCUCCAAAGCAGUGCAUUAAUAUAAGAAACCCUAGUCUUUUUUAUGGACAUGUUUCUUAUAUUAAUGUAUUGCUUUGGAAACAAUAACACCAUUAGCAUUUGUUAAAUUAUUAAUUUGUUAGAGAAAAUAAAAAUGGUAGUACAUGCUUCAAGAAAAAGAUUAACUUAACUACUUAUGAAGAAAAUAACACCAUAUGUCAUUUCUCAUGCAUAGGAAAAUUUUCAGGAAUGAGAGGGAAAAAUAAAAUUGAGGAUAUGAAUUAGCGGGAAAAAAUAGAAGGAAAAUUUUAUUAUUAUUUAUUUUCAGUUUUUAAUCAUUUUUAAGAGUGAAAUGACUUAACUAUCCUCACAUGUUGUGCACAUGAUCUCACUUAACAGAAAUAUGAAUGAAAUAUAUGAAAAACUAACUGUAUGGGCAAAUUAGCUAAAAAAAUUAGUUUGAGUCCUUAAUUUUCCUAUAGAAAAGUUCAGGAGGAAAAUAAAAAAUAACAUGAAAGUUCAGGGAGUAAACUGAUAGUUUACUCGAUUACAAAUUACCAAUAUGUAUUGUAUCUUCCAUUGAUCCAACAAAAUAGGAAUAACACAAAGUGAACCAACCCUCAAGUUUAAGGCUACCCCCUUCUUUCCACAAAUCCAAACAAAAACCCAAGCAAAAGAACCCAGCCCGUCUCUCUCCCCCUUUCUUUCCACUAAUGCCAACGGUCCGAUGAACAAAAGAGUCGUUGGGCUCAUAAUUGCUUCCGACAGCAGCCCUGACAGUGGGUCCCACCCUGUCGGGCGCUGAAGGCUAACGCCCGCGUGGGGCGAGUGGCACGAGCGACCGAGAUGAGAGUGGGCUGGGAAAGAGAGAGUCCACACGUUUCUGGGCUAUUUCAUGGGGGGAAUUUGGCCCUCAAUUGGCAUUUGGCUUUUAGCCCAAAGAUUUAGCUUGGGUUGGGUGGUGUUUGGGAGGAAAUUUUGGGAGGAAAUUUGGCAAAUAGCCCAGGGUUGGAUUUGGUCUUAGCAAAGUGAAAGGGAAGAAAUCAUGUACCAAAUUCAAAGCUGAUGAGAGACGUGAGGCCGGGAAGGACAAAGCAGAAACCAAGGCAUUUCCGUCCUUUCACUAUUUAUGAACAGUGAACUCUCUCAUAUGAUGAACAAUGUUUUUCUGCUGAGCUUUAAUUGAUAUAAAUUGGAUACAGGUUUAGCAGCACCAGUGCUAUAGAACCCCAAUUCAGGCUGGAGUUUUAUCAGAAGGAUUCCCCGUUUCAAUUCAAGUUGUGAGUUGUUAAUCACUUAUACUUUGGUUCACUAUUUCUUUCUUUGUUUCCAUGUAUAAACACAUGAUCAUGAUCUACCAAUAAUAAAAUCUGUUUUGGAUAAAUUGACAGAUUGAGCAUGGCAGCAGAGAUCAACCCAGUAGAAAACCCAGGUAUCUAUCAUGAAAAUCAAAGUAUUAAAUAUAUAUGAAAGGUUCUCUUUGUUUCCUUUUGUGUAAGGAAUACAUGGCCAAUCACUCUUGAAUUUAAUAUCAAGGGUGAAACUGUGAAGAAUAAAUGGAUGUGCUUUCAAGAUUUUAUAUCUAUCAAAUUCAAGGAUUGGUGACCAUGAAUCAUUGACCAUCAGGUGACCAAAAGAACGAGAUUCGACAUGUUUAUCAAUAUCUUGUGAAUUAUUUUCUUUUAUUUUUCUGUUUAAAAUUUUAAUUUUAAUUUUUUUUCCCUAUAAUCCAUUGUUUCACAACAAGGUUAUCUCAAAACCUUGAUAUCAAAUUACGGAUUAGAGAUUGUUGGGUGUUGAGUGAUAAAAGUUUUUUUUUACCUUCGUUGAGUGAUAAAAGUUGGGUGUGAAGAGAUUGUUGUGUAUAAAUAGAAACUAGAUUUAAGUUACUUUUUGCUACAUUACUUUAAUCUUUACUUUAGCAAAGUGAAAGGGAAGAAAUCAUGUACCGAAUCCAAAGCUGAUGAGAGACGUGAGGCCGGGAAGGACAAAACUGACUUAUUACUGUAGCAAAGUGUCAACAGUACGGGACCAAAGCAAAAAACCAAGGGUAUUUCCAUCCUUUCACUGCUGAUGAACAGAGCACUCUCUCAUAUGAUGAACAGUGCCUUCUGCUGAGCUUAGUAGGUAUAAAUUGGAUACAGGUUUAGCAGCACCGGUGCUAUAGAACCCCAAUUCACACUGAGGUUUUAUCUGAAGGCUUCCCCGUUUCAAUUCAAGUUGUGAGUUGUUAAUUACUUAUACUUUGGCUCACUAUUUCUUUCUUUGUUUCCAUGUAUAAACACAUGAUCAUGAUCUACCAAUAAUAAAAUCUCUUUUGGAUAAAUUGACAGAUUCAGCAUGGCAGCAGAGAUCAAGCCAGUAGAAAACCCAAGUAUCUAUCAUGAAAAUCAAAGUAUUAAAUAUAUAUGAAAGGUUCUCUUUGUUUCCUUUUACGUAAGAAAUACAUGGUCAGUCACUCUUGAAUUUAAUAUUAAAGAUGGAAUCGUAGAGAAUAAAUGGAUGUGCUUUCAAGGUUUUAUAUCAAACCUUGAUAUCAAAUUCAGGGAUUGGUAACCAUGAACCAUUGACCAUCAGGCGACUAAGAGAACGAGAUUUCUCAUGUUUAUUAAUAUCUUGUGUAUUAUUUACUUUUAUCGUUUUAUUUAAAAUUUUAAUUUUAAUUUUUUUUCCCUAUAAUCCAGUGUUUCACAAUAAGGUUAUCUUAAAACCUUGAUAUCAAAUUAAGUAUUAGAGAUUGUUGGGUGUUGAGUGAUAUAAGUUGGGUGUGAAGAGAUUGUUGUGUAUAAAUAGAAACUAGAUUUAAGUCUUAGCAUUCUAUGUACUUGGAAGUAAUUUACUUGAAGUUACUUCAGAAGAAUUGAAGAAGGAAAGGUUCGGGAAAGAUAACGAAUAUUGAGAGUCAACAAACAAAUUGAAGGUCCUUGGACAUAACAUAUUCCAAUGUAAAAAUAAUGGAAUACAAAAUGGUAUUUGGAUCCUCUCCUGAGCCCAAGGAGAGAAUCCUCCUGGCCAAAGAAUGCGGGCCGUUGGAUUUUUAUCAAACCGUUAGAAUUAUUAUAACUUUAAAGGGACGGCUAUAAUUAUUAUAACUUUAAAUGGACUAUCUGUUUGUAAAUGUUGAAUAAAAAAUCAACGGCCCACAUUCCUUGGUCAGGAGGAUUCUCUCCUUGGGGUCAGGAGAGGAUCCAAAUCCUACAAAAUGAGUUCUAAAUUUUCUUCACCAGAAACUCAUAUGGCCUCUCUGUUCCUUUUUCAAUUUGUUGACCCCUGUUCUUUUACAUUUUAUCACUUAAUCACAACUUGACAGUGUUAACUAUUAAUACUUAAAAUUAAAAAUAAAAUAAAAAUAUAGAAGAAAACCAACGGUGCACCCUUUUGAGCUUCUGCUUUCAAAUUUAUGCAUGCCACACCUCCCCCUCUUCAAACGCAGUGGGGAUAAGGUAUGAUUGAGAAAACCGAUUUUGUUGUUCCAAGAUUCACUACAAACGUUUUGGGAAUGCUCUCUGGCAGUGAUACUUGAAAUUAAGUUAAAAACGUCUCACUCAAUUAGAUAAGCCACAGAGAAUUUGGAGUGCAGAAAAUUUGGAUUCAUACUAUAGGGUAAUGUUAGGAAGAUUAAAUUUGAAAACUAAUAGAUAUGUAAUCAAUCAUCCACUUUCAUAUCCUUUAAUUUUCAAAAUUUAAUCUACAAAUUUAGUCUCCCUAGCAUUAUUCCAAAAUAUAUCCUCACAACAAUCGUUACUCCAAAGGCCUUCUUUCUAUCCAAAAUCUUCUUUCUAUCCGAAACUCUGUAUUUAAGUUUUGUACGGAUGGUAGAAACGUAUGAGGGUAUGGCUUUUAUAGGAACUAAGAAACCAAGAAAACAAUGUCUCCUUGCUUCACGUCCCAUUGCAAAACCAAUAAUUAACCACCUCAAUUUUUAUUUUACUUUUUAGAAAUGUUGUACCUUUCAUAUUUAUCCUUUUCACUCAUAAUUUGAGAUUUGACAAAUGUAUUCCAUCAACAAAUUAAACUAAGUUUUUACCAUGAGUUAUGAGUUUAAUUUGGUAGUAGAACACACAUAUCAAGUGAUGAGUGAAAAAAGUAAAUAGGUAAAGGGGAAUGAGGAAGCUAUCUAGCAUUCCUCUUACUUUUAUUCAGUCUUCACUAUUUUUUUCUUUCUUUCUGUCAACAUUUCUCCUCUACCAAAUAAGGAGGGAUAUCUCAACAGAAAGUAGUUAAUAUAUCCCUUGUAUAAAAUGCCAUAUUUAAUUACAUACGUACCCUUGACAGUUGAUUAUUGAUAGCGAUUUUACCACUUGUAAAACAAGGGGUUAAACCAUAGAAAAUUUUUGCAAGAGAACAAGUGUUUGUAGUAUAGAAUGGCUCAAGCAAGGUCGAUCUCCUCAGGGACUGAUGUAAACAAUUUACGAGUUUUUGUGUAUUUAACUUAUUUAACUCUAAGAAUUACACUAAUUUGACGAAACUAAAUAUUACUGGAUGUGACAUAAUCAUAUAUCUAAAAUGGGAAUUGGUUUAUAGGAAUAAUGAUUCAACUUAAACAAAACAAGUAAAUAAGGAAAUUUAAGAUAAAAUAAAUGAUUGAAGAAAAAUAGAUCGACAAUAUGUUAGAGUUCAACCUUUACCAACAACACUCCUACGUAGCUAUUCCAAUUGCUUAAAUAAUUGAAAACACACAUGCUUUGAAGGUUGAAUUUUCCUUGUGUAUGUUUUACUUGUGACAUUCAAGCUAAAACGCAUACCACUACAUACAACUUAUCCAUGACAUUUGGAUUAAAUAUAAACAUGAGAGAUUCAUUAAUCUUGGUGAAAAUCCUUUUGUUAAACCAUGUAAUCCCUAAGAGUAUGAUAUUUACCUUAGGAGAGUACAAUCCUCAAUUACAAGAAGCACAACCAAUUUUAACGUGAUAUUCGUUCAAAAUUGCAUUCGAUAACUUUUCUAAGCAUCCUAAUGGUGAUCAAUCAUCAAGACACAUAGAUAGUUUAAUUUAGAAAUUGAAAAUAUCAAAGCAAGCAUGUAACAACACUUAAGCAAUUGAAAAAUAAAUCUACGUAUUCAUGUUGCGGCUCAUGACCUCACUCUAGCAUAAUAAAUUAGUUACACAUAAUUAUGUUCAUACAUAAGAAAUUAUCCAUAAAAAAAUAACAAGAAAGAAAACACCCGAUUUUAGUUCCUCUUCUGCUCUGCGUCAGUUUCUUCCUUCUGCUUCUGCGCCUCUGCUUCUGCGCAAUCCUGCGCUCCCAUCUCUCUGUGCUUCGUUUCUCUGCGCUCUCCCUCUCCCCUCUAUUUUCUGCCCGUCUGCUUCCUUCCCUUUGCGCGUCAGUCUCUCCCUUCCCUUUAUUAACUGUUUUGUUCUUUCUUUGUCAGUCCGUCUCCACUGCUUCCAUUCUAUUAUUUUCUUUUCUUUUCUUCCUGCGCACUCCACGUCAAUCUCUCCACUCUCUUUUAUUCUUUCCGCCCUGCCUCAGUGCUCUCUCUCCACUCUUCUUAUUCUUUUCUUUUCUUUUUGCCGUCCGUGCUCUCCUUCCCUCUGCUUUUCUGCUCUGUCUGCUUUCCACAUCCUGCUGCCUUUGUUUAUUACUCUGUCAGUCCGUGUCUCUCCCCUCCCUUUUAUUAUCUGUUUUCUGCUGCUUUAAACAAUAAGGCAACGAUCCUUUCAAAACAUCACCCCAUGGAGACAAGCUCCACUUCCAUUUCUCUUAUUUGUUUUUAUUAAUUCCUUUUCUCCAUUUUUCUUAAAAGUGAUUCUAAAAUAAAUUUAACUGUACAUUUACACAAGGUAAGGUAAAAUGCCACAAUUUUAACACAAAAACAUCACAAAAACUUUAGAAAUGAAUGGUAUAAAUGCAUGAAAUAUAUGAGUGAUCAAUUAUCAACCUUGUUCGAAACUAUACGCUGGGGUGAUUGGUGUAAAGCGCAGGAGUUUCUCACCCUACACCCCAGUGCAAUAACAGCAACGGAUUCAGGGGGGGAUACAGCUCUUCACCAUGCAACAUACUUUGGGCGCGAGCAAAUUGUGGAAGAGCUAGUGCAGUUGAUGACGGAAGAGCAAUUGGAGACCAAAAAUGAUAGUGGUGAGACGGCUCUUACUAUUGCUGCAGCAGAAACAUCAAGAUCGUUGAAUGCUUGGUUGCGAAGAACAAGAAGCUACUCGGUAUUGCCAAGAUUCCAGCCAAAUGACUCCGAUUCUCGUUGCUGCUAAGAAUCACCGAUGGGAUAUAGUUCGGUACCUCUACUCUGUAACUCCACUCGAAGAUCUAAAGCCAGAUAAAGGUCCUUGCGGCUCUGAACUUGUUUGCUGUUGUCUUCAGGCCAAACAAUUUGGUAACGAAACUACUCUUAACCGAAUCAAAU